GAUGAACGCUGGCGGCGCGCCUAACACAUGCAAGUCGAACGAUUAAACCGCCCUUGGGCGGAUAUACAGUGGCGAACGGGUGAGUAACGCGUGACCAACCUUCCCCCCGCAUCGGGACAACCCGGGGAAACCCGGGCUAAUACCGGAUAUGCCGGGUAUGGCGCAUGUCAUACCCAGGAAAGCUUUUGCGGCGGGGGAUGGGGUCGCGUCCCAUCAGGUAGACGGCGGGGUAGUAGCCCACCGUGCCAACGACGGGUAGCCGGGUUGAGAGACCGACCGGCCACAUUGGGACUGAGAUACGGCCCAGACUCCUACGGGAGGCAGCAGUGGGGAAUCUUGCGCAAUGGGGGAAACCCUGACGCAGCGACGCCGCGUGCGGGAUGGAGGCCUUCGGGCCGUGAACCGCUUUCAGCAGGGAAGACAUUAAGGACGGUACCUGCAGAAGAAGCCCCGGCUAACUACGUGCCAGCAGCCGCGGUAAUACGUAGGGGGCGAGCGUUAUCCGGAUUCAUUGGGCGUAAAGCGCGCGCAGGCGGCGCACCAGGCGGGAUCUCGAAACCGGGGGCUCAACCUCCGGGCGGAUCCCGAACCGGUGUGCUCGAGUGCGGUAGAGGAAGUCGGAAUUCCCGGUGUAGCGGUGAAAUGCGCAGAUAUCGGGAAGAACACCGAUGGCGAAGGCAGACUUCUGGGCCGACACUGACGCUCAGGCGCGAAAGCUGGGGGAGCGAACAGG
rnacentral:rRNA from 1 species